CCUAUCAGCUUGUAGGCGGGGUAAUGGCCCACCUUAGGCUUCGACGGGUAGCCGGCCUGAGAGGGCGGACGGCCACAUUGGGACUGAGAUACGGCCCAGACUCCUACGGGAGGCAGCAGUGGGGAAUAUUGCGCAAUGGGGGAAACCCUGACGCAGCGACGCCGCGUGCGGGAUGAAGGCCUUCGGGUUGUAAACCGCUUCUGAUUGGGAGCAAGCCUUUUGGGUGAGUGUACCUUUCGAAUAAGCGCCGGCUAACUACGUGCCAGCAGCCGCGGUAAAU
rnacentral:rRNA from 1 species